rnacentral:sRNA from 1 species
AUGCCAAACCGCUAAUAUGAGUGUUUUGUUUAUUGAAAGAACAAGUUUGUGCAAGACUUGACAGUGUGAACUCCGACACUGUGUUGUGGCAAUGUGAUGGAGUCCUGACCUGGAGGGACCACCUCUAGGGAUGAGAAAAUCAUUUCAUCUCCAUGUCCUUCCAGUCUUUGGUUUGU